rnacentral:rRNA from 1 species
GAUGAACGCUGGCGGCGUGCCUAAUACAUGCAAGUCGAGCGAACGGACGAGAAGCUUGCUUCUCUGAUGUUAGCGGCGGACGGGUGAGUAACACGUGGAUAACCUACCUAUAAGACUGGGAUAACUUCGGGAAACCGGAGCUAAUACCGGAUGAUAUUUUGAACCGCAUGGUUCAAAAGUGAAAGACGGUCUUGCUGUCACUUAUAGAUGGAUCCGCGCUGCAUUAGCUAGUUGGUAAGGUAACGGCUUACCAGGGCAACGAUGCAUAGCCGACCUGAGAGGGGGUAGGCCCCCUCAGAAGCUGAGCGGCGGCCCAGAGUCUGAGGGAGGGCACAGGUGGGGAACGUACGCAACAGGGGGAAAGCUUGCCGAAGCAACGCAGGGCGGGUGAUGAAGGUCUUCGUGCGGUAAAACUGUGUUAUAGGGAAGAACAUAUGUGUAAGUAACUGUGCACAUCUUGACGGUACCUAAUCAGAAAGCCACGGCUAACUACGUG